rnacentral:rRNA from 1 species
AUUGAACGCUGGCGGCAUGCCUUACACAUGCAAGUCGAACGGCAGCACGGGAGCAAUCCUGGUGGCGAGUGGCGAACGGGUGAGUAAUAUAUCGGAACGUGCCCAGUCGUGGGGGAUAACGUAGCGAAAGCUACGCUAAUACCGCAUACGAUCUAUGGAUGAAAGCGGGGGAUCGCAAGACCUCGCGCGAUUGGAGCGGCCGAUAUCAGAUUAGGUAGUUGGUGAGGUAAAGGCUCGCCAAGCCGACGAUCUGUAGCUGGUCUGAGAGGACGACCCAGCCACACUGGGACUGAGACACGGCCCAGACUCCUACGGGAGGCAGCAGUGGGGAAUUUUUGGACAAUGGGCGCAAGCCUGAUCCAGCAAUGCCGCGUGCAGGAUGAAGGCC